CAGCGCAGGAGCUAACGGCUCUCCACCGUGAGGUGAGGAUCAGAGCAACAGAGACGAGCCGAUUCAGUUCGGGUGAAACGGGCAAUCUCUGCGCGCAGCAACACCAAGUAGGCCGGUAUCGAGGUGGUUCCGCUGAGCCGGCGGGUAGGUGGCAUCGAGCCGUUUGGUGACAAACGGCCCAGAGUAAUGACGGUCACGUUGAGGGCAACUUCAACGCACAGAAUCCGGCGUAUCGGCGCGCUUCACAC
rnacentral:RNase_P_RNA from 1 species